UCUCUCUCUCAGUCCCGUCUUAAACGUUACUCGUGUCGCAUCUCCACCAGUCAAUCAGUCAGUCAGUCAGUCAGCCUGCCAGAAAACUAGUCAGCCAGUCAAUCAGUAAUCCGAUACGCAUGCACACACGCACGCACGCACGCACGCACGCACGCAAAGUGAUAGUUAUUACGUGUGGAAAGAGAAUUGUGUGUUCUACUACUUCUUCUAAUACUACUAUUACUACUACUGCCGUGAAGAGAAAGCCUUCAGGUUGUUGAGAAAUGACCCAAGAAUCUUCAGGGAGACCGCAUCAGUAUGGUCAACGCUAACACCUAUAGAUAU